rnacentral:rRNA from 1 species
GACGUAGGGCGCGAGCGUUGUCCGGAUUUAUUGGGCGUAAAGAGCUCGUAGGCGGCUUGUCGCGUCGACUGUGAAAACCCGCGGCUCAACUGCGGGCCUGCAGCCGAUACGGGCAGGCUAGAGUUCGGUAGGGGAGAGUGGAAUUCCUGGUGUAGCGGUGAAAUGCGCAGAUAUCAGGAAGAACACCCGUGGCGAAGGCGGCUCUCUGGGACGGUACUGACGCUGAGACGCGAAAGCGUGGGGAGCGAACAGG